UAGCUUUGCAUUUCUACUUGCAUUUCUUCCUGUCUCCUUUUCUUACCCUUUCUUUUCUCUGGUGUGACCCACCCCCACCUUCCCCAAAUUUCUGAAGGAAAAAAUGCUUGAUACUUCAGUAUUUUCACCCAGUGGGGUAACUAAGUUUGUUAGUACCUCUCAGUACCUCAGAACUUUUGAAGUAGGAAGCCUCAGAAGAUGUUUAGCCCUUGGUAGUCCCCAAGAUUGGAAAGAGAGACACAUGUGGAACCCACGGCACUGUCUUUCUCUUGACUCAUCAUUCCCACCCCAGGCAUUUUUGCCACAUUUUUCUGAGGGAUGUUGACGAAGCUGGUCAACUUUGCCCAUAUGUCAAGGUUAAAGUUGUUCCAUCCUUACUUGGUGCUUCAGAAGGUGUGGAGAACUUGGCAUGCUCCUUCAGAUACAUUCAAACCUGAAGCAUUGAUACUUGAAGAGGUAGGAAUGGUUGGAUGGGGCAGGGAGUUCCCUGCAGACAGCAUGGAUGUCUCCCGUGUACAUGAACAUCAUCACUUUUGGGCUCAGAACACUUAAGUGGUCUCCUCUUGCCUCUAGGGGGAGCACUGGUUUUGUAGAAGUUUCCCCUAUUGUGCCUUACGUUCGCCUGUGUGGGGCUUUGCCCUUGCCGUUCUGUUCGUCCAAAGGGCCUUCAGCCCCAUCUUUGCCGUUUUAAGCCCUCCCUAUUCUACAAAAGGACAUGCAGACGCACCAUUCUCCAUCCUUUCCUGACUUGGUGGAGGUGACCUCCUGCCCCUCCUAAUUAGCUCAUGUGGACUACAUGCUGCCUUCUUUAUGUAAGCCAUAGACAUCACCAUGGAUCUUUGAGAGUAUACAAAUUAGCAAGAACCAUGAUAGCAAAUGAUUUCCUCUGUGUGUUAUAAAAUAUAAAUGAAAACUGUGAUUCAGACCCUUAAAAAAGUUUUGUCAGGGUAUGACCAUUGUGCAUUUAGCCAGGCUCUUUUAUUAGCUAAAUGAUUAGCUUCUGCAUGCUAGCCUUUAGAGUGGUGAUUCAGAUUCAGGCCUUAUAAUCAGAUGACUCCAUAGGGCAUUCAUGCAUCAGGGAGUUUGCAUCUACUGUGUCUACCCAUAUUAUUCCUGAUGAGAACGCAAAGCCUGAGGGCUGCUACUUAAUAUUUCCCUACUUCAUGUCUUCUGUGAGGUGGGUGGUCAGUGAACUUUUGCCAGGUGCAUUUACCAGCAUCAUUUCUCACUGUUAGUGUUCCUCACUUUGGGCCAAAAGAAGGAGGAAAUUUUAAGAGGAGUUACGGUCUAUAAAGAUAAAUAACCUAUGGAUGUGAAUGUAAAAUGAUUUGGUAACUUGCAACUUGUUGCAUUGUAUACUUAGAAAACAUACAGCUUUUUAACUUCUUAAGGCAUGUGCACCUUCCAGUAAGUGCUGAGAGAAUACGGCUGGAUAUGUAACCAUGUUAAGGUGUUUUUUGAGCCAGGCUAGACCUCUCAGCUACACUUCUAGCUGAGGGGAAUCACUGAAACGUUAUAAGCAGAGAGUGAAAUGAUGACAAAGAUCAGUGUUGGCAGAUCAGAAAAAGGUUUGGAGCAUCAAGUAGGGAGGGUGAAAGAGACUGAGAAGGCAGUUGGCUGGGCAGGGAUCAUAUGGGAGUGUGAACUAAGGGUCAGACAGUGAGUUGGAGAAAAAUACAUGUAUUUGAGAGAUAGGAAUAAAAGAGAGAGAGAGUGUGUGUGUGUGUGUGUGUGUGUGUGUUGAAGUCUGUGCCUUGGUUUCCUCAUUGGUAAGAAAGGAAUAAUGAUAGUACUCACCCAUGGGGUGUUGUGAUGAUUGAAUUAGUGAACAUGCACAACAUGCUGGAAACAGUCAUGGCACAUAUUAAGUGCCAUAUAAAUGUUUCAUUAUUAUUUUUAUUAUCAAAUAAUAUAAAGAUUGAGAAACGUUCCUAGGAAUUAGUACCCCAAAGAGCAUGAGUGACCUAUGUUAGGUACGUUAGAGUGGAGUGCUAUUGGCAGAAGCCAACUAGACUAAAGAGAGACAAGGAGUUAAAGACAAACAGUGAGUUCAGCUUAUUAAAAGUUUGCCUGUGAAGAAAAGGAGAGAGCAAGACCAGCUUCUGGCGGUUUGUCUGCAUUGGUCGUGGUGGAGGUGGGGAGAGGUGUGGUAAUCUUAGGGUUAUGGGAAGAAGGUGAGCAUUUUAAGUGUUGGUUGAACGAGUCAGUAGAAGGAGAAAGGUCCAUGGGAAGCAGGAGGGAUAGUGACUCAAGGUCCUGCAGGAUGUAGGGACAUGAAGAACCCAUUUUCCAUUGGAAUGAAAAUGAAGGAGACAAGGAUGGAUAGUAAUGUAGAUAAGCAAAAUGGAGACAGAAAGUUAAGGGAUUUCCUGCCUGAUGGCCUGUUUUCUUUAGGAAAUAGGUAAGAUGGUUGGCUGAGAAUCAGAGAAGGAAAGCUUUAGGAGAGCAGGGAAGGUUGGGAAUAACUGCAGUGAGCAAUGAGUGAGCUGCAUUGGAGGGUGGGAGCAGGGGGGUGCUGUGGGCCCAGCACUGGGUCCCGCAGUCGGAUGGCUUCCAGGGAGGACUCUGCAGCAGCAGGUAAGCACAGAGCCACUGGGGUUUUGCUUCUGGGUGACCACAGGUUUCGGUGAGGAGGAGGAAGAAGGGUGGAAGUGGAUGCAUUAGGUCAGAGCUUUUAAUAAAGCUAACAGAGACUCAAGAAGAUUAAGUUGAGCCUUGAAGAUUGGUUAGAAUUUACAAAUUCUAAGCAAAUUUAUCCUGUAAGUUGGACUUGUGAGGCUGCUCAUUAGAACACAGAUGUUGGAGUAAGAAAAAGUUUUAUCUAAAAUGUCGUUUGGCGGGUAAGAUUCCUCAAAGGAGGAACAACCUAAGACAGGCACAGUCGCAGGGGGGCCAUCAGGUGAGAAAUUGGGGAUCAACAGAGGUGAGGCUUAGAACCUCACCCCCCCUGUUCUGAGAGAAAUCUUCUGCAUACGUGGAUGUUUUAUUGCCCUGGUCUAGCUUGGAUUAACACAUAGUCUACAGGCACACACCUGAUCAUCUACAUUUGCUCUCUUACAACGCUAAACUAUGUUUUCUACCUUUAUCUUGUAUCUACCUACCACUUCACCAUUUUAUUAAAAAUAAUAAUAAUAAAGAGAGAAAUGUAGUAUCCACACAUAAAUCAAGUAUAAAAACCAAAUGAGUAUUCAUAUUUGAACUGACUGUUUAGAGUUCAUAAUGCAUGAGCAAAACUGAAAGUUUCUGUGAUAACUGCCCUUGCACUGUUCACCAUGUAAGAACUUAUUCACUAUGUAAGAAUUUGUUCACCAUGUAAGAACUUGUUCGUUAUGCUUCAGAAGAUUGGAGACUGUUGAGAACUAGGCUUGGGGUUGAUUAAUGAUUGUGCAUUGAGUCCCCUAUACAGAAUUUAAUUGUUGUUAACAACCAUUUGAUCAAUAAA